rnacentral:lncRNA from 1 species
CAGAAGCCUCUGAGACACCGCAGAUGUGGGGUGGCUCACUUCCUAGGAGGAAGAGCAGGAGGAGGCUCCGAGGACAAGGAGCAGGGGGAAGGCUGUGGUCAUCCACUUGUCCGAGUCCCUCUGUGGAGGUCGGAGGACUUCCAGGUGGAUCCGUUGAGGGACACAGGCAGGAGCAGGGGAAAAGAGAACGACAAGGCAGGCGGAGGUGUGUUGGGGAGUGGAGUGCGACUGGUUGCAUCGUCUGGGGUCCAGUUGAGAUGGAAAUGCGGGCUCCUCGCUCAACACAAAUGUCAAGACGUCAGAGCAUCAAACCGCAUCACAGACUCUGGCCUCCAGGAGGAACUCUUUGACACAUAUAUGGCAACUAAACCAUCAGCAGAAGUUUGCUUGGGUUUUCUGGGACACCACUGUUGAAGAGGAAUCUUAUGAAAACCAUAGAUUCAAGACACAGGCAUAACUUGAAAUUUUCUAACAGCUACAUACAAAAUUUGAAAGGAACAGAUUAAGUUAAUUAAAUUCAUUUUUAGAAUAUAUUUCAUUUAUCUAAUGUAUUAAUAAUAUUAUCAUUUCAAAAUGUAAUUGAUAGCAACAUAAUUGAGACUUUUACAGUGAGUUUUGUGAGUCCUAAGACUGGAACCUGGUGGGUAUUUAACUUUACUCCUCUAUCCCAUUUGGAUUAGUCGCAUUUCAGAUGCUCAGGGGUGACUGUGGCUGGUGGCCCCCCCAGGUGGGGAACAGAUGUCCGAUAUUAGGGGGGAAGUGUUACAAAACAGGGACUACAGCCUCCCUUGCUUGUUACCCAUCUCAAGGGGAUGCUUGGAACAUUUUACCAUCAAGUAGGAUACUUGCUAGAGGUUUUGUUUUGUUUUUGCAGAUGCCAGGAUAAAGACAUUCCCUGGAUUCCUAGUUUGCUAGGAUUUUAAUAACAUAACAGAUGCUGGCUUUUUCCUGGAACUAUGGAGAUGAUAUGUCUUCCACCUCUGAUCUUCUAAUGUGGUGAAACACCCUGACUGAGCUAGUUUGUCGCCUCCCCGCCCCGUGUUGGGGAUUGAACUCAGGGGUGCUUUACCACUGAGCUGUAUCCCCAGCUGCCCUCCCCCUCCUCCUCCUCCUCCUCCUUUUUCUGUCUUAGGGUAGGGUUUUUCCUACCCAGUUGCCCAGGCUGGUCUUGAACUUGUGAUCAGCCUCCCAAAUCAGUGCUUGAGGCACUGCUCCUAGUUUAAAUUGAUUUUCAAAGUUAAACCAGCCUAAUUUUAUCACAAAGUAUUAUCACUUUUUAUAUACUGCCAGGUUUGAUUUGCUAAUGCUUUCAGAUUUUUUUUGUAUCUUUCUUCAUGAGUAACACUGGUCUAUAAUUUUCCUUUUUUGUACUGUACUUGUCAUACAAAGAAUUAGGAGGAAUUCCUCUUCCUCUUAUGUGGGGAUGUUGGGGUUAAGACUGGAAUGAUUUCUUUUUAAAAUAAACCACAG